UACGUAGGGUGCAAGCGUUAAUCGGAAUUACUGGCGUAAAGCGUGCGCAGGCGGUGAUGUAAGACAGGUGUGAAAUCCCCGGGCUUAACCUGGGAACUGCAUUUGUGACUGCAUCGCUGGAGUGCGGCAGAGGGGGGGAUGGAAUUCCGCGUGUAGCAGUGAAAUGCGUAGAUAUGCGGAGGAACACCGAUGGCGAAGGCAAUCCCCUGGGCCUGCACUGACGCUCAUGCACGAAAGCGUGGGGAGCAAACAGG
rnacentral:rRNA from 1 species